rnacentral:rRNA from 1 species
GCUAAAAAUCUAGCUACUUAAUCUACCCCUCCUUAAAUUACUAAUUAAAAUAUUCUCCCAACAUAGUAAAGAAGAUUAAAAAAUUAUUAUAAGCUAUAAAUAUGUACCGCAAGGGAAAGAUGAAAUAAAAAUGAAACAAUAAAGCACAAAAAAGUAGAGACUCCCCCUCGUACCUUUUGCAUCAUGGUUUAGCAAGUCCAACUAGGCAAAAAACCUUUAAGUCUAGCCCCCCGAANNUAAUNNANNNAUUUUAACGUCGCUUAUUGAGCCAACCCAACUAUGUUGCAGAAUAGUKGGAUAACUNNAAAAUAGAGGNGAGACACNNNNNNNNNNNNNNNNNNNNNNNNNUCUCAGGAAAAGAAUUUUAGUUCCACCCAAAGAAACAACUAAUGUAAAUACAUUUAAAUUACCAUAAAUCUUUGAAGUAAGUUGAAUAAGGUACAGCCUAUUUGACACAGGAUACAACCUUGCCCUAAGGGUAAAACCACACUAGUCACUAAGUGGGCCUAACAGCAGCCACCUUUAAAAAAGCGUCAAAGCUUGAAACACACUAAUUUGCUUAACACAAUUAAUCCCUACAAUUAUACUGAGAAAUUCUAUAACACUAUAGAAGCUAUUAUGCUAAAACUAGUAACAAGAGGAUCAACCUCUCUCUAAUGCAAACAUAAGUCAGAAAGAACCCAUCACUGACAUUUACCAUAAAAGUAGCAACCUCACCCAGAAAACCCUACUCAAUCAAAUGUUAACCUAACACCAGAGCAUUGUAAGAAAGAUUAAAAGAAAGAGAAGGAACUCGGCAAAUGUAAGUUCCGCCUGUUUACCAAAAACAUCGCCUCUUGUACCCAUAAGAGGUCCAGCCUGCCCAGUGACCUAGUUCAACGGCCGCGGUAUCCUAACCGUGCGAAGGUAGCGUAAUCACUUGUUUUCUAAAUAAAGACUAGUAUGAAAGGCAUCACGAGAACCUAACUGUCUCCCCCUUCCAAUCAGUGAACCUAAUCCCCCCGUGAAAAAGCGGGAAUCACCUAAUAAGACGAAAAGACCCUAUGGAGCUUUAAGCACAAUAACACCUGCCAACUUAAACAUUCAAGUGUUCCCCGCAUCAUGAUUAUGUGCUUUCAGUUGGGGUGACUAUGGAGAAAAACCCAUCCUCCACAGUGAAAGGCUCUACGCCUAAACAAUAAGUUACAACUUUAAGUAUCAAUAAACUGACACUAUUGACCCAAUAUAUUGAUUAACGAACCAAGUUACCCUAGGGAUAACAGCGCAAUCCACUUCGAGAGCCCCUAUCGACAAGUGGGCUUACGACCUCGAUGUUGGAUCAGGGUAUCCUAGUGGUGCAGCCGCUACUAAGGGUUCGUUUGUUCAACGAUUAAAACCCUACGUGAUCUGAGU